rnacentral:rRNA from 1 species
GAUGAACGCUGGCGGCGUGCCUAAUACAUGCAAGUCGAGCGAACAGACGAGGAGCUUGCUCCUCUGACGUUAGCGGCGGACGGGUGAGUAACACGUGGAUAACCUACCUAUAAGACUGGGAUAACUUCGGGAAACCGGAGCUAAUACCGGAUAAUAUAUUGAACCGCAUGGUUCAAUAGUGAAAGACGGUUUUGCUGUCACUUAUAGAUGGAUCCGCGCCGCAUUAGCUAGUUGGUAAGGUAACGGCUUACCAAGGCAACGAUGCGUAGCCGACCUGAGAGGGUGAUCGGCCACACUGGAACUGAGACACGGUCCAGACUCCUACGGGAGGCAGCAGUAGGGAAUCUUCCGCAAUGGGCGAAAGCCUGACGGAGCAAAGCCGCGUGAAUGAUGAAGGUCUUCGGAUCGUAAAACUCUGUUAUUAGGGAAGAACAAAUGUGUAAGUAACUAUGAACGUCUUGACGGUACCUAAUCAGAAAGCCACGGCUAACUACGUG